rnacentral:rRNA from 1 species
UACGAAGGGGGCUAGCGUUGUUCGGAAUCACUGGGCGUAAAGCGCACGCAGGCGGAUUGAUAAGUCAGGGGUGAAAUCCCGGAGCUCAACUUCGGAAUUGCCUUUGAUACUGUCUGUCUUGAGUCCGGGAGAGGUGAGUGGAAUUCCUAGUGUAGAGGUGAAAUGCGCAGAUAUCGGGAAGAACACCCGUGGCGAAGGCGGUUCUCUGGGACGGUACUGACGCUGAGACGCGAAAGCGUGGGGAGCGAACAGG